rnacentral:rRNA from 1 species
UGGGGAAUAUUGGACAAUGGGGGCAACCCUGAUCCAGCCAUGCCGCGUGAGUGAUGAAGGCCUUCGGGUUGUAAAGCUCUUUUGGCGGGGACGAUGAUGACGGUACCCGCAGCAUAAGCCCCGGCUAACUUCGUGCCAGCAGCCGCGGUAAGACGAAGGGGGCUAGCGUUGUUCGGAAUUACUGGGCGUAAGGCGAGUGUAGGCGGUUGUCCAAGUCAGGCGUGAAAGCCUCGAGCUCAACUCGAGAAAUGCGCUUGAUACUGGGCGACUAGAGGACCGGAGAGGAUAGUGGAAUUCCCAGUGUAGUGGUGAAAUACGUAGAGAUUGGGAAGAACACCAGUGGCGAAGGCGGCUAUCUGGACGGUUACUGACGCUAAGACUCGAAAGCGUGGGGAGCAAA